rnacentral:rRNA from 1 species
UACGGGGGGGGGCAAGCGUUGUUCGGAAUUACUGGGCGUAAAGGGCUCGUAGGUGGCCAACUAAGUCAGACGUGAAAUCCCUCGGCUUAACCGGGGAACUGCGUCUGAUACUGGAUGGCUUGAGUUUGGGAGAGGGAUGCGGAAUUCCAGGUGUAGCGGUGAAAUGCGUAGAUAUCUGGAGGAACACCAAUGGCGAAGGCAGCACUCUGGGACGUGACUGACGCUGAGACGCGAAAGCGUGGGGAGCAAACAGG